CCCUCUUCUCUCCGGAAAACCCUCAACUUUCUUAAUCUUCUCUUCAGCAAAUUGUUGUUGUAGCCGCCUUUAUCUUCACUAGAAAACCCCUCUUCACCUCUUUCGAUUCCUCCAAGCUCAAAGGUGAGAAACCUCUGGGUUGCUACUGCCGCCACUUACACCGCUGCUGUCCGAUGAGCUUUUCCGUUACAACAGCCACUAGAGUCUUUCUCUUCUUCUCUUUAAAACUAAGAGCAAUUCCAUGGCUACCUGGGAAGCAUUCAACACAUCCUGUUCAAACGAACAAGUAAAGAAUGGAAUGGCAGUCGAUUUGGAUAAAAAGCAACAUAUGAAUAGUCUCAACAUUAACACAAAGUAACCACUGUAAAGAUCAAGAAAAUCCCAAAAUGUAAGAUAAUAAAAAAAACUUGAAAAUAUUGCAUCUAUUAGCUAAAAUUGUAUCAAAGAGCUUUAUUUACAGUCUAAUAAAACCCACUAAAUACUAGAGAAGAAGAAAAAUCCUAUAAAUCAAAUAAACCUAAAUUGCAUUAUUUUAUCAUAAAAAUCAAAACCCAAAACCUAAAAUCAAAUAACGCAAAUUGCAUCAUUUUUAAAAAAAAAUCAUCAAAGAGAGAAGAAAAUAAAAAGCAAAACUCCAAAAACAACAAAGCCGAAUAAAUAUAAUGUUGAACACCGAAAACAAAAUAGAAAACCCUAGAAGCAUGAAAGGAUCAACUAUUCGAAAAAGGCAACGAAAACAACUUGAAAAGAUAUGAGAUAGAAACGAGAAAGGAAAAAACAAAGAAAAGAAAAGAGAGGCCUUAUGUAUGUGUCAUGGGUUGCGCGGAAGAAUGAAUAGCACAUUUGGUUGAUCCAUUUUAUUCGUGAGGGUCAUAUGGUCCAAUAGGAUUGACCCGUUACUUAGAGAGACUGAAAAUUCAUCUACAUUACAU
rnacentral:lncRNA from 1 species